GUGCCUGUUUUCCUCGGAACUGCAUCCUGGAAGGAAAACACCUCAGUCCUGAGAAAAACACCCUGCCUGAGACAAUUGCUGUCAUUAGUCACUAGCAACCCCGCGUCUCCUGCUACUAACUAUGUCAAAAGUACAAAUAAACACCCCUAGGGUGGUUCAGUUCUCCCAUCGGAAGGGGAGGACCUCCGCUGACCUCAGCUUUCUUCCUGUUUAUAUCUUCCUCCUCUCACUUCCUAACCCCCCCAUCACCCAGAGCUCCAAGGAGUCUGGACAUGUGCCAUAGCAACACCCGCCUGAACAGCUUGAAAUCCCCGGCUGACCUCGCCCUGGUGGGAAACGGCGCCCAAUGGCCCUGCUCCAGGCACCGACAGCAGGGCUGAACGCUCCCAGGGGUCAGUGAGGGCGGCGGCUCCCUGAGCUUCUUUUGCAAAAGUCUCCGAGACAGAACGGAAUACGCUUGCUUCAGACUUUGCCUCUUCCUCUUCCUAGGUAGAAGUUCAAGAACUGGACACAGUGUGCCUCACCGUGGGACACGUGGAGUUGCACCCCCAACCAGGACUGGUGGGGGGGUGCGAGGUCACGAGCCGUCAGCACAGGCGAGAGGGUCCUUGGGGGCGGCCUGGCCUCAUCCCGCGGAGCCCCACUGGUGUGUAGGGUGACUGGAAGGCAAACCUGAUCUGACGUAAAGGAAGAACAUUUAAUUUUACUUUUUUAGAAAUGAAAACGUGUAGAUGUAGCUGUGUGAUCUCCACCAUGUUCCACAACCUUUGGGGAAAACCUCAGGCGUGUGGCCCGUGUUAAGCGUGUGACGCUGGGGUGAAGGUGGCCUAGCACAGCGCCUGCCCUCCCUGCUUCUGGAGCCCUCGCCUGGUCUUCAGCUCCGUGGGGCUCACCCGGGAGGCUGGACAGGGACUGUCCGGGGACGAGGCGGAGUGUUAGUGGGGAGCCAGGGUCUCAGGUCUGCAAGUUGCCAGGCUGGAUCCUCAAGUGAGAACAAAGGCGUCCUCCCCACUGACCCUGGCUGCGGCUCACCCACCCCGUCACCCACCCCGUCCUCCUGAGACUGUCCAGCCGCCUCCCUGUGCCAACUGCUGUCCACGGGGCUCUGAUCCGGCCGGAUCUCCCCACCUCUGCGCUGCCUCCCCCAUCCGCCUUCCCAUCUCUUCUUUCUCUCCAUAGUCCACAUGGCCCCGGAUCCACUCUUUGAAGGUUCUGCCGCCACCGAUCUUCGUCUUUUCUGUCUUGUUUUAUAGCUAAGCCCGUGAUCUUCAUUAAUCCAGAGUAGCUUCGAAUAGUCAAAGCCGAGCUUCAAGAGCUGAUAACACAAGUAGAGCGGGAGGAACAGAACCAGAUUCAAGAGCUUUGGCAGCUGUUUUGUUUUAUAAAAGAGAAACCAGCCUGCGGAAAAUACUCAGGGAAAUAAGAUGGAGAAGGAAGACUAAGGGCUCCUGAUGUCAUUACAGAUGCUCGUGCUGCUCUAAGAGCCAGUGAGCGGAUGUCCUCCAGCUCUAGACCCUGUCCGUUCACUGCGCCUCAGGGCUCAGCGGGAGCCUUUCCUCUCUUGCAGGCCCUUCUGGUCCGCCGGGCGAGUGGCGAAAAGUUCCCCCAAAAAGACAAAUCACAGCAAUGGGGACGCCCCUGCCCACGCCUCUGUCCUCCAGAACGCAUCCUCGUGUGUCCCCAAAACUGGGAGCCACACUGCAAGGGGGGCCAGGGUUGUGGCGGCAGGCUCACCUCUGUAACUCUUCCCCUCUGACGUUUGAGCCUUUUAUUGUUUUCAACCAUGUGCACAUAUUACAUUAGAAAAAACAAACAUGACUAAGCAAUGGCUAGAUAGCUCAAAAAGCAGCUUUUCCCCAAGGAUUUUACUCACACAGUAAGAACAAAAGCACUGUGAAGACUUAUAAUUCUAUGCUGGUCAUAUAAAACUUCCGUUGUAAAAAGUA